AUUGAACGCUGGCGGAAUGCUUUACACAUGCAAGUCGAACGGCAGCAUAGGUGCUUGCACCUGAUGGCGAGUGGCGAACGGGUGAGUAAUACAUCGGAACGUGCCCAGUCGUGGGGGAUAACGUAGCGAAAGUUACGCUAAUACCGCAUACGAUCUAAGGAUGAAAGCGGGGGACCGUAAGGCCUCGCGCGAUUGGAGCGGCCGAUGUCAGAUUAGGUAGUUGGUGAGGUAAAGGCUCACCAAGCCGACGAUCUGUAGCUGGUCUGAGAGGACGACCAGCCACACUGGGACUGAGACACGGCCCAGACUCCUACGGGAGGCGGCAGUGGGGAAUUUUGGACAAUGGACGCAAGUCUGAUCCAGCCAUUCCGCGUGCAGGACGAAGGCCUUCGGGUUGUAAACUGCUUUUGUACGGAACGAAAAAGCUCUUACUAAUACUAGGAGUCCAUGACGGUACCGUAAGAAUAAGCACCGGCUAACUACGUGCCAGCCGCCGCGGUAA
rnacentral:rRNA from 1 species